ACCUAGCUCUUAAAAGGGGCUUGGUAAUCCCUCCCCUUCCCCUCUCUCCUGCAGCUCUUUCUAGCUCACCUUCUUCUUGGGGUGGGGGAGGGUGUGGCUGCCUAGUCUCUGCGCUUAGGAGUCAUCAGGAUAAAACAGGGCUGGGGGAGGACGCCUUCUCUCCUUGGCGUUAUUGAGAAAUUUUCUAAAAGAAACAUUUGCACCAAAGGCAACUCUGGGAAAACAAAGGGGAAAAGAACAAAGCAGCUAUAAAUCCCUAAAAUGAAAUGCAGAUUGUAGCUCCUACAGGAACCUCUGAUAACCAACAGCACCCCCCCCCUCCCCGCUGUUCCCAGGAACAAUGGGUCCAACUGGAGCUGCCUCGGGUCUCCAGCUGAAAAUUGAGGCCCUGUCUCUCCUGUUGGGGCUUCCUCUGCCUCCAGGCUGCGGGGCGGGGAGGUGGUAGGCUUGCAGGCAUAGAGAACACAGCCCCGUCCGCUUUGUAGUUCCUCUAUAGCUCCCCGCCCAACCCGCAUAAUCCUUGCCGGCACCCCCCGCCCCACCGGGGACCCUAAAAGGACAAUGACUACAACCCUGUCCUGGAGUUGCUGCACAAAGCCUAUCACAACUUUGGACCCUGGGGGACUCCCACUGGGGUGGGUGUUGGGCCACAGCAGGGGCAGGAGGCUGACUGUACUGCCUUUCUGCGUCUGGGCCCCGGGCGGACACCAAGUCCCUGCUGUGAAUCACUCUUCUGAUUAGCUGUCAGGACGCCCAGUAUAGAGCCUCGAGGACAACUGGAAGCUCAGAAAAGACAAGGCCCCAGGGGUGGUCUAGAAGCUCUGGUGAGCACCACCGAGGCGCAUCGACAGCAGAAAAUGGAGGGAAAUCCGAACAGGAGCGAGAUUAGGUUCAGAUGGCGGGGCAGAGCGAAGUGGGCGGCUCAAAAAACGUUGCGUCUAAGAGGGGCUGGCCUGCACCAGAGGACAAAACUUACAACCCGCGUGUAGACGUUCUAGGGGAGCAGACCUGCAUCAGAGUAAGGAAAAUCUUUUAAACAGCAACGCAGCGGCAAAGCGGGCUGGGGGUGUGCCCUGGAGUGGGGGUGGAGGGGUUGCAGCCACCCGGGUCAAGUCUCCGCUCUAUCAACAGGCGUAUGACCUUAGCAAGUUUCUGAACCUCUCUGUCCUCCUCUGCAAAGUGAAGGAAAUCCUGGUACUUCCCUCCUGGGGCUCCUGUCAGGGCUAGGAGUCCGUUUGUAAAGGGCCUAGAGCCUACGCAUGCGCACACUUACCUAAGCGCUAGGUAUUCACUAGGACUAGGUUGCGUUCCAGGCGGCGAGAUCUCUUUGCUGGAAGUGGUUGAACCUGGGCUGCAAGACGAGUUUCGGGGAUACUAGAGGUCCGCGGAGACAGAGCCAGACCACGUUGCAGAAAAGCGAGAUGGGCUCAGGUGGCAGAGGGCUCGGGUUCCUACCACUGUGACUGUGGGCAAAGCACAAAAUCGACAGGUCUGUUUUCACCUCUGUAAAUAAGGCUGAAGUCUCUGGCUCGACCCAUCGUCCUGAGGAUUAAAUAAUCCUGGGUACAGACAUCCACCUUAGUGUUUGCACUUUCUUCUUGUAUUUUAAAAAUCAUAAGACCGAUCACCUAUGUGCAGUCCCUGACACGUAAUGGGGGGCAGAGUAUGCAGGAUCACGACUCCCUUCCUCCCCAAAAGCCCUGGGGCUCCCCAGACACCAGAGCUGGUCUUCAGCAGCCUUCUGGCUGAUCUUCCUGUCCUUUUACAGCGAGUACCCUCUCCUUUCAGGCUGCUUGGUGUGACUCACCCUUCUUUGCAAUUAACUGUGAUGUUCUGCUGGCGGCUUCCGUUACGCGAGCAGAACAGCAGAUCUGGCCUAAGCAGGGUCUGGCGGGUGGGACGCUUCACUUGGUGAUUUACUGCCGCGGAGGCAGAAGCUAGGCCCCUGGGCAUGUUGCAGCUGGCCUGCCUCUCCCCCACUGCUUAGUUUUGUUCCCUGACCUGGGUCCCCUGGCACAUUCUGUUCUAAGGGCCAGGCCUGUGCCAUCACACAUGCUCUCAGGCACCUGGCUGGCCGGUAGGAGGCUGGCAAAGAAAGAAAUGCUAUUUCUUCUCUUUGAGUUUGUCUUCCAUUGGAUUCAGGAUGCUUUAAUUGAACAGCUACUCUGUGCCAGGCACUCUGGGGGAUCAGACGUGGAUGUGAAGCAGUACUCCUUCCCUAGAAGCUUCUAAUUCACCAGGAGGUGAAGGCAGAUCCAUGAAUAGUUUUGAGCCUCUGAUGGCACAGAGCAACUACUGUGGAAAUAAAUACGGAGAAGAGACUUUGCAACCGCAAGGGGCCUAGAGAGGCUUAUUACGGCUGCCGCUUGUUGGGCAUCUGAUGUGUGCAAGGUACUUCCCUUGUCUCAUUUAAGCUACUCGACUCUGUGAGGAAUGGGACUGUUGCCAUGCCUGUUUUACAGCUGGAGAAACUGAGGGGCCGAAACUUUCACCUAAAGGUGAAAUCACUUACCCCAAGUUACAUGGCCAGUAAGAGGCAGAACUAGGACAACAACCUAAGUUCAAAACACAUGUUUUUUUCCUGAGAGGCCAGGCUGCCUACCUCUUAGAGAAGGCCGAAUUUGACGUGGGCCUCAAAGAAGGUUGAUACUUUAUUCCUGGGGGUAGGGCGUUCCUUCUAGGCGAGUCCUGCUCAGAGACACAGCUAAUGUCCUCCCUCUUCUUCCCACAAGGGGCUGAGGAAGCCUCAUGGCUUGAAGGGCCCUUCGAGUUCUCUCCAGCCUCUGUGACUCGACCCCAAAUAAAUAACCACACUGUCAAUGCAAAUAGUACUGCCUGGCCGCUGGAACCAACAACCCAGAUUGAUGUGGCCCCCGCUGGGGGGUCCUGUUCAACUCUGUAACUGGCGCGCGCGCGCACACACACACACACACACACACACACACACACACGUCCUUUAUGUUCCCUUCAAGCAAGUUUGUUGCCCCAGUUACAGAAUUUUAGGCUGGAAGUGCUGGCAGAUAAGAACUUCCUACAGAUCCCAUACUGGGGUUCAGAAGGGGAAGGAACUGGCCUAGAGGCUUCAAGAAAGGACAGCUAGAGCCCUGUCUUCCUGCUCUCACUUGAAGAGGCAGAAUGAGGGUUCACCCAGCACGUCUCCCGUAGGGAUUUGUCUGGUAUUGUCGCAUGUCAUCCCCCAAAUGGCCCUGAUUAGGGCUCCUGCACCCCACUUUCAGAUGAGAAGUCUGACAACUCGAGGAAUCCUGGGACAUGCCCAAGGUCAAAUGAGAAAAAGCCAAGGAAGGGGCACAUACCUAGCUGUCUCCCAAAUCCCACCGCAGAGCAGAGGGAGGCGGGUGUUUUUUUCCUCCCCCCACCCAUUUUUGGGCUUGCAAAAUGGUGUAAACCCAGGAGGUCUAGAACCCAGUUCUCCAGAGGAAAGGGCUCCAGUAUUGGACCUUCCCAGGGGCGAGAUCUGAGCUGCCCGAAGUAACGACCAGGCCUGGGCAGGCACAAAAUGACACACAGAGGGUUGUGGAAACUGUACUUACAUCUCUUGCUUUGUUUCUGGAUGACUCAUGCAGCCCACAUAACAAAAUUAAUGUCUUCUCCAGCACCAGCAAAUUGUAUUUCUUCCUUUAAAAAAAAUCACAACCGGCCUGCAAAUGGCCCUGGCUUAUUCUGGAGACAUAGAGCCAUCCUGUGGCCACUUCCCUGGACGGGCCGGCAGCGGCAGUCAGGACCCCCGCAAUGGGGGGGGGGGGAGCCUGAGGCCAUGUCAAGUCCUGCACUCUGCUUCUGUCCAGACCUUCUGGUCUGGUCGGUGACAUUCUGUCAUACCCGUGUCUCCUCUGAACUGAUGUUUCACGUAAGAGCAAGUGCUCUGGAAGCCCCCCAUCCCGAGUCCUCUCACACGGUGCCCUCCGUCGGGAGCCAAUUUACUCACCUCUCAGGCUUUGGCUCAAGGACCUUCCCCCACCUUCAGCUCUGUGAGCUUUCUCUGCCUCCUUCUGACCCCAGAUAGCAUUGCCCCUUCCUCACUGUAUAACCUCACCAGCUCCCUAUGCAAGUCUCUUAAUAUAACAGCUAACAUUUAUAUAGUACUUCCUCUGAACCAUCACUCUAAGACCUAUAUGUGUGUGUAUAUAUGUGUGCAUAUAUACGUAGUAUGUAUAGGGGUGUGUAUGCAUAUAACACAGAUAUGAAAUAGGCGUCAUUAUUCUCCCCAUUAUAUAGAUGGGGAAACAGAGCGCGGGGGUAUCUAGUUUGCUCACCAUCACUCAGCUAGUUAAGCGGCAGAGCCAGAAUCUGGGUUUCUUCAGUCAGGCUCUAGAUCCCUCUUCUUAACCUGUACCGCAUGGCCUCUAGCACCAGUCACCCCUGGUUUUACUUGCCGAUUUCCGCCCACCCAUCCCCCCUACCCCAUCCAUUCUGUGGUCUACUUGAGGAGAAGGCUUGCAUCUUCUUCCUCCGGUGUCCCUGUGCAGGGCAUAGCAGCUGGACCACAACAGGGCCCCACGCUGCUGACUGGAAGAAUGUGUUGUGUCUGAUGCCCUGGGCCACCAGCCCCUUCCCAUGGCUGCGCGCGUCUUUAUGCCUUAUUUCUUCAGUUCCCUCGGGACACAUCCCUGGCUCUGUUCUCUGUGCCGAGGAUAUUGGUCCUGCUUCCUGUCCCAGUCCUGCCUCUCUGAGGCUUCGUGCUUCAUCCUGUGGAUGGCCAGGAGGUGUGGGGGAAUACAGACAAGCAUGUAUCCCCACCCCCUAGUUUCGAUUUUUCUUUGCCUUACAAAAGCACUUUGUAUAUAUACAUGCAUUCGACAAUAAAUUUUGGACAUCAGCCUCAAAUCGGCCACUGUUCUGGGUGCUGAGAACAUAGUGACAAGAAGCAGACACUAUCAUCAUGGCAGUAAGGUUCUAGGCCGGGACACAGGCGGGAAACAAAGAGCAACGGAGUGUGGGAUGCAGCAUCAAGGGAUGACCAGGGCUGCAAAGGGGAACAGAGUAGGGAAGGGCAGACAGAGAGCGAGAGACGGGGUGGUCCGGGAGGGUUUCUCUGAAAAUAGGAUAUUGGAGCAGAGACCCGAUGAAGUGAGGGAGACCGGCUGGUGCCUGCAGGAAGACGCUCCAGGCAGAGGGGCCAGCAGGUGCCACGCGCUGUGGUGGCUCGUGCGUGAGGAGCAGAGGGAACGAGGGCGACCGUGGCAGCAGGUCCUAUAGAGCCUCUUGGGCCAUGAGGAGGAUUGGAGGCGUGUCUUAGCACCACUUUGACAAAAUACUGCAGGCUGGGCCGCUUGUAAACAACAGAAACGUAUUUCUCGCUGUUCUGGAGGCUGGCUGGCUGAGACCAGGGUGCGGACAUGGUCCGCAGCUUGAGGCAGGAGGCCACGAGAUGACCGAGACCCAGAGUACCAGGGAAACCCCAGAGCUCACGGCAUUGACUAGGGAAGUUGAACGUGCCAAAUCAGUCUUGGCAAAGCUUUCCAAACCAGAAGGAAGGAAGACUCUGGAGACAGUUUCAAAAAACGGAACCCAAAGAGAGCUGGAAGUGCCAGAGGUGGCCGUCGUUCCUUGCUCACUGACAAGGGACAAACGUUUGAGGAUCGGAGUCUUCUGUGCGCGGAGCCCACUUCCCCAGCAGCCUGGAAGGCUCCUGCCGGUCCCGGUUCAGGAGGGUGGUCCAGGGUGUCCACCUUGGGCCCAGCCGAGAUGGCUCUUAUGCAUACUUAGUUCACUGGACAAUGCCAACCAGGUCUUACAACUGUUGUGGAUCCUCAGAACCAGAAAGCCAUCAAAGUCCUCUUGUGGGCGGGGAAUAAAUCCUGUAGGUCACCACCCACCCCUCUGAACCCUUUGAAACCACACUCCCAGACCUCCCUCCAUCAUCUUUGUUCCCCUCCCAUCAGACAACCCUCCCGUCAUUCCUAGCCAUAUUAUGCCAAACAAUUUUAAAUGUCUUAUUCAAAUUGCAGCUGUCACACUGUGCAGAUGACAAAGUCUCAACUCUGUUCUAGGACAGGAUUCUAAUAAAUCUGCCCUUAUCCUCUA